CUUUGGAUAAAUCCCCAAGAGAAGAAAUGUUAACAGCCAUUGGAGGUGAUCGGUGGGAACAUAAGAACAGCCAUACUGGGUCAGACCAAAAGUCCAUCUAGCCCUGUAUCCAGUCUUCCAAAGUGGAGUCUGGGUCAUGCAAGGUGAAGCCUUUCUGAUCAUUCUGCAGUAGUCACCGGCGUUGAACAGUCACUUGGAUCGCAGACACGUAUGCAGCAAUUAAGCGAAUGUGCACAAUUCAUGAAAUACUAACCACGGUGGAGUAGAAGGAAUAGCUGACGACAACUGACCUAUGACACCUCUGCGACAGGGAAAUCUGUGUGGUGGUGGUAAUAGUGGUGAAGUUUUGAAACCGCUAAGCUGUAGAGGAGUUUAACAAACACCAAUACAAAUAAGGAAAAUAGCACAAAUAAUGAUGGGGCGCCCAGUUUACUCCCAGAAGAUGAAUAGUUUGGGUGUUUGAACUACCCAGCCACUGACAGGCAGACUAUCUACCAGUGGAGAAACUGAAGCAUAGCUGCAUCCUGAGAG